rnacentral:snoRNA from 1 species
AAUUAUAAUGAUGAGAAACAUUUGCAAAAUUUUACAGUUAUCCCUGUCUGAAUGGGUACCAAAGGUAACCACUCGCGUGUCGAUAAGUUUCAUUCUGAUAUUAAU